rnacentral:lncRNA from 1 species
UAGAUUAUUUGAUCCAAGGCCUCUCAAGUUGAAUUGUAGUUCAGUUCUGCUGGGUUAUGUAAGUCUUACAAUAUUUAGUGUAAAAUGGUAUAAAUUUGGUCUAAGCAUAAAUUUUGUCACUCGUACGACUGAGUUGGCGUAAAAAUCACGAUUAAAUCAAAACCAUAUGAGUUUACACUAGAAGUUAUAAGAAUUAAUCAACUGAACCUAACUACAUAGAACUCAACUUGAGGGCACCAC